rnacentral:rRNA from 1 species
CUGGCUCAGGACGAACGCUGGCGGCGGUGCCUAAUACAUGCAAGUCGAACGAACGGAUUGAGGAGCUUGCUCUUCAAGAAGUUAGUGGCGGACGGGUGAGUAACACGUGGGUAACCUGCCCUUCAGCGGGGGGAUAACAUCCGGAAACGGGUGCUAAUACCGCAUAGUUUCUUUUUCCGCCUGGAAGAAGAAGGAAAGAUGGCCUUUGUGCUAUCACUGAGGGAUGGACCCGCGGCGUAUUAGUUAGUUGGUGGGGUAAUGGCCUACCAAGACGAUGAUACGUAGCCGACCUGAGAGGGUGAUCGGCCACAUUGGGACUGAGACACGGCCCAAACUCCUACGGGAGGCAGCAGUAGGGAAUCUUCCGCAAUGGACGAAAGUCUGACGGAGCAAACCGCCGCGUGAGUGAAGUAAGGUUUUCGGAUACGUAAAACUCUGUUGUCGGAGAAGAACAAGUAGGAGAGUAACUGUUCCUACCUUGACGGUACCCGACCAGAAAGCCACGGCUAACUACGUGCCAGCCGCCGC